rnacentral:rRNA from 1 species
CAGCGGAGCGUGUGGUUUAAUUCGAUGCUACACGAAGAACCUCACCAGGGUUUGACAUACAAGUAGUAGGGAAAGGAAACUGGACCGACCUUCGGGAGCUUGUACAGGUGCUGCAUGGCUGUCGUCAGCUCGUGUCGUGAGAUGUUCGGUUAAGUCCGCUAACGAGCGCAACCCUCGCUGUGUGUUACAAGUGUCACACGGAACUGCCGGUCAUAAACCGGAGGAAGGUGGGGAUGACGUCAAGUCCUCAUGGCCCUUAUGGGUAGGGCUUCACACGUCAUACAAUGGUCGGUACAGAGGGUUGCCAAGCCGCGAGGUGGAGCCAAUCCCAGAAAGCCGAUCGUAGUCCGGAUUGUUCUCUGCAACUCGAGAGCAUGAAGUCGGAAUCGCUAGUAAUCGCGGAUCAGCAUGUCGCGGUGAAUACGUUCCCGGGUCUU